GAGGCAUUAUUUUCAAUGGAUUUUAAUUUGUAAACCGAAAAUUAUGUUAGGCGAGGCGUUUGUAAACCGAGGUCCCACUGUACCUUGCAAGUAUAUGCACAUGUUACAUUGCAUGUCACUUGUAUUACAAUUGCUCUAAUUGAUGGUUUCAAUACAUUUAGAUCUAACCUAGGUUUUUGACACACUUUCUAAUUGUGAAUUGCACGUAGUAUUUUAU